rnacentral:rRNA from 1 species
AUGAUCCAGAGAUUUCCGAAUGGGGGAACCCAACAUCUUUAAUAGGAUGUUACGAUUGUGUGAAUACAUAGCACAUUCGAGGUAGACGCAGAGAACUGAAACAUCUAAGUACCUGCAGGAAGAGAAAGAAAAUUCGAUUCCCUGAGUAGCGGCGAGCGAAACGGGAAAAGCCCAAACCAGCAAGCUUGCUUGUUGGGGUUGUAGGACUCCAAUAUGGUAGUUCUUUCAGAUAGUCGAAUGACUUGGAAAAGUCAGUCAAAGAGGGUAAAAACCCCGUAGACGAAAUGUGGAAGACACCUAGGAGGAUCCUGAGUACGGCGGAACACGAGAAAUUCCGUCGGAAUCCGGGAGGACCAUCUCCCAAGGCUAAAUACUCCCUAGUGACCGAUAGUGAACCAGUACCGUGAGGGAAAGGUGAAAAGCACCCCGGAAGGGGAGUGAAAUAGAACCUGAAACCGUGUGCCUACAACAAGUCAAAGCCCGUUAAUGGGUGAUGGCGUGCCUUUUGUAGAAUGAACCGGCGAGUUACGAUUGCAUGCGAGGUUAAGUUGAAGAGACGGAGCCGCAGCGAAAGCGAGUCUGAAUAGGGCGUUUGAGUAUGUAGUCGUAGACCCGAAACCAUGUGAUCUACCCAUGUCCAGGUUGAAGGUGCGGUAAAACGCACUGGAGGACCGAACCCACGUACGUUGAAAAGUGCGGGGAUGAGGUGUGGGUAGCGGAGAAAUUCCAAACGAACUUGGAGAUAGCUGGUUCUCUCCGAAAUAGCUUUAGGGCUAGCCUCGGAAUU